rnacentral:rRNA from 1 species
UUCUGACCUCGAAUCAGGUGGGACUACCCGCUGAACUUAAGCAUAUCAAUAAGCGGAGGAAAAGAAACUAACAAGGAUUCCCCUAGUAACGGCGAGUGAAGUGGGAUGAGCUCAAAUUUAAAAUCUGGUAGUCUUUGGCUGCCCGAGUUGUAAUCUAGAGAAGUGUUUUCUGUGCUGGACUGUGUUCAAGUUUCCUGGAUAUGGAACAUCAUAGAGGGUGAGAAUCCCGUCCUUGACACAGAUUCCCUAGUGCUCUGUGAUGCACUCUCAACGAGUCGAGUUGUUUGGGAUUGCAGCUCAAA